UUUUAAAUUAAAAUUUAAAAUGAAUUUCUAUAAUUUUAUAAUCGAAGAAAGUCGUAUUUUAUACGAAAAUUUAUAUUUUUAAAUAAAAUAUAAAGAAACUGAAUAUGUUUGACAUUUUUAAUAUUUCUUAUACUUUGUAUAAGAAUAAGAUUAUUUUAGGAACUGAAUCAUCUUAGUACUAAAAUAAUUAUAAUGUAACAACGAUUUUCUUAGUAACGGCGAGUGAAAAGAAAUUUUGUAUAUUUAACUUUAUGUUAGAUAUAAUAUUAAAUUUUUAAUAUGUAAAGUAAAUUUUCAAUUUAUUUGAUUUUAUUUUGUUAGAACCAUCUUAAAAAAUUUUAAAUAAUAUAAAAUUUUAUAGAAAACUAGUAUCGUGAGAGAAAGGUGAAAUAGAUUUUUGAAUAAAAAAGUGAAAAGAACAUGAAAUUUUAAAUUUUAUUAAGUUUAUUUAAUUAAAAUUUGAAAUAUAAUUUAAUUAAAUGCUUGUUGAAGAAUGAGUCGGUGAGUUAUAAUUAUUAAUUAAUAAAUUUAUUAAAAUUUAUUGUAAUAAGAGUUAAAGCGAGUUUUAAUUAUAUAAAAACUAUUUAAUGUUUAGUAAUUAUAGAUCCGAACCCAAAUGAUCUAAUUAUGUUCAGAAAUUGUAUUAAUAAUAUAAUGUUCGAACCAGUUAAUAUUGCAAAAUUAUUGGAUGAAAUGUAAUUAGAGGUGAAAUGCUAAUCGAAUUUGGAGCUAGCUGAUUCUCUCUGAAAUGUAUUUAGGUACAGAUUUAUAUUAAAAACAAAAUGUAUAGCUCUAUAUUAUAAUAUAAUAAUUUUUAUAGUUAUUAUAUUUUAUUUAAUAAACUGUGAAUUUAUUGUUUUAUUAUUUAUUUUAUUUUUUAAAAUAUUUAAUAAUUUAUAAAAUAUUAAAUUGAGACUAUUAGGGUUAAGCUUUAUAGUCAAAAGGGAAACAGCCCAGAUUAUUUAAUAAGGUCUUAAAAAAUAUAUUUAGUUAAAGAUAGUUUAAUUAUUAACACAAAUUAAAAUAUAAGCUUCAAAGCAGCUAUUAUCUAAGGAGUGCGUUAAAGCUCAUUAGUAUAUAUUUUUAAACAUCUAAAAUAAUAUAGACUAAAUUAUAUAACCAAAUUUGUAAAAUAAAUAUUUUUUAUAUUUAUUUAGUAAGAGAGCGUUUUAUUUAUUAAAUAUAGUUUAUAUUUAAAUAUAAACAAAAAAUUAUAAAUGAAAGUGAUAAUGCCGAUUUAAGUAAUGUAAUAUUAGAUAAGAAUCUAAUACCCCGAUUGUUUAUAGAUUUCCUAUUAUAUGAGUUAAUCAAAUAGGGUUAGUCGAAGUCUAAAAAUAAAUGUUUAGUUUAUUUGAUGAAAAAUUAAUAAUAAUAUUUAUUAAUAAUCUAUAUUAAAUAUAUUAAAAUUUUUAUAUUAAGUUUUUAAUAUUAUUUUUUAUAAUAUUAAAUUAUAAAUACUUAUUUUAAUAAAUUAUUUAAUUAUAUUCGUAUUAAAUCUGAAACAAGUGAAUAGGUAGAAAAUAUACCGAGGGGAUGAAUAAAUUUUUUUUAAGGAACUAGGCAAAAUGAUUCCGUAACUUUGGGAUAAGGAAUACUAUAUAGUGUAAAAUACUAGGUUCAAACGACUGUUUAUCAAAAACACAGGCUUUUGCAAAAUUUAAUGAUGAUGUAUAAAAGCUGAUGCCUGUCCAGUGCUAGUAAGUUAACAAAAAAUAUUAGUAUUAUAUAUUUUUAUAAGCUCUAGUAUAAACGACGGCUGUAUUUUUUUAACGGUCCUAAGGUAGCGUAACCCCUUGCCGGGUAAGUUCCGGCCCGCAUGAAAGGCGUAACGAUUUGAACACUGUCUUAAAAAAAAAUUCAAUGAAAUAAUAAUGUCUGUGAAGAUACGGACUAUUUACACAAGGACAGAAAGACCCUAUGAAGCUUUACUAUAGUUUAUUAACGACAAGAGAUAUUAAAUUAUAAAGAAUAAAUGGUUUUUAAAUAUUAAAUUUAUUUAAUAUUUUUUGAUAUGUGAAAUACCAUUUGUUUAAUAUUAAUUUUCUAAUAAUUAAUAAUAUAAAUAUUUAAUUAUAUGUCAUUUUAAACUUGAUAGUUUGACUGGGGCGGUCUCCUCCUAAAUAGUAACGGAGGAUAACAAAGGUUAUUUGUUAUUGUUUUUGAUAACAAUAAAAAAUAUUUAAAGAUAUUUAAUAGCUUAAUUGUUAAAUUAACAUAUUAUGCAGUAACGAAAGUUUGUCUUAUAGACCCUAUAAAUUUUAUAUAUGGAUAUUUUAUAGAUCUAAGGAUAAAAGUUACUCUAGGGAUAACAGGCUGAUCUCUCCCAAGUGUUUAAUGACGGGGAGGUUUGGCACCUCGAUGUCGGCUUAUCGCAUCCUGAGGUUGAGAAGAUCUCAAGGGUUGGUUUGUUCACCCAUUAAAGCGGUACGUGAGCUGGGUUCAGAACGUCGCAAGACAGUUUGGUCCAUAUCCGGUGUAAAUUAAUAGAACAUUGCGAUAAUUUUUUUCGGUACGGAAGGACUAAAAAAAUUACAUAAAUUGUGUGACAGUUAUUUUAAAUAUUUUUAAAGUAUUUUGCUGUCAAGCUACAUGUAAAAAGAAUAUAAUUGCUGAAAGCAUAUAAGCAAGAAUAUUAAUUUAAAUAUGUUCUAAUACUUAAUUGAUUUAAGAUG
rfam:Theileria orientalis strain Shintoku apicoplast DNA, partial genome.